AAGCGGUGGAGCAUGUGGCUUAAUUCGAGGCUACGCGAAGAACCUUAUCCUGGACUUGACAUGUUCGAAAGAGGCAGCAGGUAGGACCCGGAAACGGGAACGAACGGUAUCCAACCCGGAAGCUGCCACAGGUGCUGCAUGGCUGUCGUCAGCUCGUGUCGUGAGAUGUCGCGUUAAGUCGCAUAACGAGCGAAACCCUUACCUUUAGUUGCUACCGAAAGGGCACUCUAGAGGGACUGCCGGUGUUAAACCGGAGGAAGGUGGGGAUG
rnacentral:rRNA from 1 species